rfam:Oryza sativa (indica cultivar-group) chromosome 4, whole genome shotgun sequence.
AACCACACUAUCAAUGGAUGGAUUCACCCGUGAAAUGACGUGGUUGUUUCACCUAGGACGAGGACAUGGCAUCCUAUUACCAGCCAUCGCACAAAAUUAAUAGGAUGCCACGUCCACAUCCUAGAUAAAACAACCACGUCAUAUCAUGGGUGAAUCCAUUCAUCGAUAGUGUGGUU